AUGAAAAGAGGGUAACACUUGUCAGCGGAGAGGGAUCAGUGGGCAAGAAGGAAGGCAACGACAGGGAAAAUUGAAAACUGACAAAUCAGACACGUAUGCAGAAUUACAUGUAAAACCCGAAUCAAGCCUAGGAAAAGAUGAAAGUGAAUAGUUUGCAUCCAAGGUCAUGCUGCGCUAUUGGAACACUAUUCAACCUUUAUAACAAGAUACUAAUAUUCAUAAUAAAAAAGGUAUUUACUUCAUCAUCUUUAAUCCAUUUAAUAUUUUAUUAAUUACGAUUUUUUCCCUAAAAAAUCGUAUUCAAUUUUAUGAUAUAACGGGACGGUAUUCAAGUAUCAAAUAAUUUAUGGACAUCAAUAUUAAGCAGGCAGGUCUCCAUUCCACUAAUACACAUUCCCUGAUACAUCCUAAGUAUCUCUAUAAUUCCUGAUUUACCACAAGUGGGUCUUUCACUCUCUUCUGUUGCCUUUCAAACAGGCGAGAAGAAGGAAAAUAUAGACAUCACUUUUUUUCUUUAAGGCUUCAACUUUUUUUUUUUUUUCACGUGGUGUUCUUGAGGGCAUCGUCUCUUAAAGAAGAAGCA